rnacentral:rRNA from 1 species
GACGAACGCUGGCGGCGUGCUUAACACAUGCAAGUCGAGCGGUAAGGCCCUUUCGGGGGUACGACGAGCGGCGAACGGGUGAGUAACACGUGGGUGACCUGCCCUUACGCUCUGGGAUAAGCCUGGGAAACGUGGGUCGUAAUACCGGAUAUGACUCCAUAACGCAUGUUGUGGGGUGGAAAGCCUUGUGCGGCUAGGGA